rnacentral:rRNA from 1 species
ACGGGGGUCGCAGUGAGGAAAAAAAAUCGGAGCCGAAAGCCUGAACCAACCAAGUAGGUGCAGGGGAAGUCCCUGUGGGUCAUAAACAAAAUUUAGCAAGUAUCCAGUCACCCACUCUCGUAGUUGCAGGUACCAUACCAAUAAGGGCCGGCUAAUUCACCGCUCAAGCAGCGGUAAUAUGAAAGGUCCGGGCGUUAUCUGGAUUUAUUGGGAGUAAAGGGGAGGUAGGAGGGAGUUAAAGUGUGUUGUGAAAUGAAGACGCUCAACGUCUGACUAACAGGGCAUACUGGUUUCCUCGAGCACUCCUAACGUUGGCGGAGUUCGUCGUGUAGCGGCGAAAUGCUGAGAGAUCACGAGGAACUACCAAAAGAAACAGCAUACCGGAAUGCCCUUCUCUUAAAUUUAGGCGCUGGUUCGAACUCC